rnacentral:rRNA from 1 species
GAUGAACGCUGGCGGCGUGCCUAAUACAUGCAAGUCGAGCGAAUGGAUUAAGAGCUUGCUCUUAUGAAGUUAGCGGCGGACGGGUGAGUAACACGUGGGUAACCUGCCCAUAAGACUGGGAUAACUCCGGGAAACCGGGGCUAAUACCGGAUAAUAUUUUGAACUGCAUGGUUCAAAAUUGAAAGGCGGCUUCGGCUGUCACUUAUGGAUGGACCGGCGUCGCAUUAGCUAGUUGGUGAGGUAACGGCUCACCAAGGCAACGAUGCGUAGCCGACCUGAGAGGGUGAUCGGCCUCACUGGGACUGAGACACGGCCCAGACUCCUACGGGAGGCAGCAGUAGGGAAUCUUCCGCAAUGGACGAAAGUCUGACGGAGCAACGCCGCGUGAGUGAUGAAGGCUUUCGGGUCGUAAAACUCUGUUGUUAGGGAAGAACAAGUGCUAGUUGAAUAAGCUGGCACCUUGACGGUACCUAACCAGAAAGCCACGGCUAACUACGUGCCAGCAGCAGCCGCAG